GGUUGUAUGGUGUAAUGGUUAGCACGUAGGAUUUUGAUUCCUGAGACCUGGGUUCGAUUCCCAGUACGACCU
rnacentral:tRNA from 1 species